AUUGAACGCUGGCGGCAGGCCUAACACAUGCAAGUCGAACGAGUGGCGGACGGGUGAGUAAUGUCUGGGAAACUGCCUGUUGGAGGGGGAUCACUACUGGAAACGGUAGCUAAUACCGCCUACCAUCUGAUGUGCCCAGAUGGGAUUAGCUAGUAGGUGGGGUAAAGGCUCACCUAGGCGACGACCCCUAGCUGGUCUGGGAGGAUGACCAGCAACACUGGAACUGAGAAACGGACCAGACUCUUACGGGAGGAAGCAGGGGGGAAGAUUGGAAAAUGGGGGCAAGCCGGAUGCAGCAAGGCCGGGGGGAGGAGGAAGGCCUUCGGGUGUAAAAGUACUUUAAGCGGGGAGGCGGUACCCGAAUAAGAAGCCCCGGCUAACUCCGUGCCAGCCGCCGCGGUAAUAC
rnacentral:rRNA from 1 species